ACGUAGGGUGCGAGCGUUGUCCGGAAUUAUUGGGCGUAAAGAGCUUGUAGGCGGUUUGUCGCGUCUGCUGUGAAAUUUCGGGGCUUAACCCCGAACUUGCAGUGGGUACGGGCAGACUAGAGUGUGGUAGGGGAGACUGGAAUUCCUGGUGUAGCGGUGAAAUGCGCAGAUAUCAGGAGGAACACCGAUGGCGAAGGCAGGUCUCUGGGCCAUAACUGACGCUGAGAAGCGAAAGCAUGGGGAGCGAACAGGA
rnacentral:rRNA from 1 species